AGCGACGCUGGCGGCAGGCCUAAUACAUGCAAGUCGAGCGGUCCCUUCGGGGGCAGCGGCGGACGGGUGAGUAACGCGUGGGAACGUGCCCUUUGGUACGGAACAACUGAGGGAAACUUCAGCUAAUACCGUAUGUGCCCUUCGGGGGAAAGAUUUAUCGCCAUUGGAGCGGCCCGCGUUGGAUUAGGUAGUUGGUGAGGUAAAGGCUCACCAAGCCUACGAUCCAUAGCUGGUCUGAGAGGAUGAUCAGCCACACUGGGACUGAGACACGGCCCAGACUCCUACGGGAGGCAGUAGUAGGGAAUCUUGCGCAAUGGGCGAAAGCCUGACGCAGCCAUGCCGCGUGAAUGAUGAAGGUCUUAGGAUUGUAAAAUUCUUUCACCGGGGACGAUAAUGACGGUACCCGGAGAAGAAGCCCCGGCUAACUUCGUG
rnacentral:rRNA from 1 species